rfam:Bat coronavirus CDPHE15/TSA/2006, complete genome.
UUUGCUUUGUUCUAUCAAUAGUGCUAAUUGUGCUGACUUGCUUCCAUGGCUAUCAGGACCUUAUGGACCUGUGACUUGGAAGCUAGUCUUGCACACAAUGGUAAGCCAGUAGUAAUGACAGUGCAAGUAGGUUAUUACUAUAUUACGGCAUAUAGGUAAACAGCAGUUCUCAUUCAUCUAAGUA